UACGUAGGGUGCGAGCGUUGUCCGGAAUUACUGGGCGUAAAGAGCUCGUAGGUGGUUUGUCGCGUUGUUCGUGAAAACUCACAGCUUAACUGUGGGCGUGCGGGCGAUACGGGCAGACUGGAGUACUGCAGGGGAGACUGGAAUUCCUGGUGUAGCGGUGGAAUGCGCAGAUAUCAGGAGGAACACCGGUGGCGAAGGCGGGUCUCUGGGCAGUAACUGACGCUGAGGAGCGAAAAGCGUGGGGGAGCAAAACAGG
rnacentral:rRNA from 1 species